rnacentral:rRNA from 1 species
AUACGGAGGAUCCGAGCGUUAUCCGGAUUUAUUGGGUUUAAAGGGAGCGUAGGUGGACAGUUAAGUCAGUUGUGAAAGUUUGCGGCUCAACCGUAAAAUUGCAGUUGAUACUGGCUGUCUUGAGUACAGUAGAGGUGGGCGGAAUUCGUGGUGUAGCGGUGAAAUGCUUAGAUAUCACGAAGAACUCCGAUUGCGAAGGCAGCUCACUGGGCUGCAACUGACACCGAUGCUCGAAAGUGUGGGUAUCAAACAGGAUUAGAUACCCUGGUAGUCCACACAGUAAACGAUGAAUACUCGCUGUUUGCGAUAUACAGUAAGCGGCCAAGCGAAAGCAUUAAGUAUUCCACCUGGGGAGUACGCCGGCAACGGUGAAACUCAAAGGAAUUGACGGGG